rnacentral:rRNA from 1 species
UACGUAGGGUGCGAGCGUUAAUCGGAAUUACUGGGCGUAAAGCGUGCGCAGGCGGUUUUGUAAGCCAGAUGUGAAAUCCCCGGGCUCAACCUGGGAAUGGCAUUUGGGACUGCAAGGCUCGAGUUUGGCAGAGGAGAUUGGAAUUCCCGGUGUAGCGGUGAAAUGUGUAGAGAUCGGGAGGAACACCGGUGGCGAAGGCGGGUCUCUGGGCAUCUCCUGACGCUGAGGCGCGAAAGCGUGGGGAGCAAACGGG